rnacentral:sRNA from 1 species
GGGUGUGGGGAGGAGGACUUGAGCUACAGAUGUGACGCUCCUGACAUGUCGCAGGCACACGGCACGUGUCGGCCUCCUCGCCAGCCCUGGACAAGAUGGGUCAUCAGGAUGGGACCGUGUGGCACAGCCUGCGGGCUUUGGAGCCAGGCAAACCUGGGCUGGGAAUCCUGGCUCUGCCUCGGCCUCCGUGAUCUUAGACAGGCAGCCCCACCUCCCUGAGACACCAUUUCUCUACAACGGAAUCAUGCUGCCUGCCUCGUGGGAUUUCCGCGGGCACUCAGGCCUCCUCCCCUCUCCCUCUGUGCUUUUCCAAACCUUCCAUGUCCAGCUCUGAGACCCCUGGGCCCUGAG